UACGUAGGGGGCAAGCGUUGUCCGGAAUCAUUGGGCGUAAAGCGCGUGUAGGCGGCCCGGUAAGUCCGCUGUAAAAGUCCAGGGCUCAACCCUGGAAAGCCGGUGGAUACUGUCGGGCUCGAGUCCGGAAGAGGCGAGUGGAAUUCCUGGUGUAGCGGUGAAAUGCGUAGAUAUCUGGAGGAACACCGGUGGCGAAGGCGGCGUUCUGGACUGUAACUGACACUGAGGAACGAAAGCCAGGGGAGCAAACGGG
rnacentral:rRNA from 1 species